GAUGUUAGCGGCGGACGGGUGAGUAACACGUGGGUAACCUGCCUGUAAGACUGGGAUAACUCCGGGAAACCGGAGCUAAUACCGGAUAGUUCCUUGAACCGCAUGGUUCAAGGAUGAAAGACGGUUUCGGCUGUCACUUACAGAUGGACCCGCGGCGCAUUAGCUAGUUGGUGGGGUAAUGGCUCACCAAGGCGACGAUGCGUAGCCGACCUGAGAGGGUGAUCGGCCACACUGGGACUGAGACACGGCCCAGACUCCUACGGGAGGCAGCAGUAGGGAAUCUUCCGCAAUGGACGAAAGUCUGACGGAGCAACGCCGCGUGAGUGAUGAAGGUUUUCGGAUCGUAAAGCUCUGUUGUUAGGGAAGAACAAGUGCGAGAGUAACUGCUCGCACCUUGACGGUACCUAACCAGAAAGCCACGGCUAACUACGUGCCAGCAGCCGCGGUAAUACGUAGGUGGCAAGCGUUGUCCGGAAUUAUUGGGCGUAAAGGGCUCGCAGGCGGUUUCUUAAGUCUGAUGUGAAAGCCCCCGGCUCAACCGGGGAGGGUCAUUGGAAACUGGGAAACUUGAGUGCAGAAGAGGAGAGUGGAAUUCCACGUGUAGCGGUGAAAUGCGUAGAGAUGUGGAGGAACACCAGUGGCGAAGGCGACUCUCUGGUCUGUAACUGACGCUGAGGAGCGAAAGCGUGGGGAGCGAACAGGAUUAGAUACCCUGGUAGUCCACGCCGUAAACGAUGAGUGCUAAGUGUUAGGGGGUUUCCGCCCCUUAGUGCUGCAGCUAACGCAUUAAGCACUCCGCCUGGGGAGUACGGUCGCAAGACUGAAACUCAAAGGAAUUGACGGGGGCCCGCACAAGCGGUGGAGCAUGUGGUUUAAUUCGAAGCAACGCGAAGAACCUUACCAGGUCUUGACAUCCUCUGACAACCCUAGAAGAUAGGGCUUUCCCUUCGGGGACAGAGUGACAGGUGGUGCAUGGUUGUCGUCAGCUCGUGUCGUGAGAUGUUGGGUUAAGUCCCGCAACGAGCGCAACCCUUGAUCUUAGUUGCCAGCAUUUAGUUGGGCACUCUAAGGUGACCUGCCGGUGACAAACCGGAGGAAGGUGGGGAUGACGUCAAAUCAUCAUGCCCCUUAUGACCUGGGCUACACACGUGCUACAAUGGACAGAACAAAGGGCUGCGAGACCGCAAGGUUUAGCCAAUCCCAUAAAUCUGUUCUCAGUUCGGAUCGCAGUCUGCAACUUCGACUGCGUGAAGCUGGAAUCGCUAGUAAUCGCGGAUCAGCAUGC
rnacentral:rRNA from 2 species